CCGCAAUGGGCGCAAGCCUGACGGAGCAAUGCCGCGUGAAGGAUGAAGCCCCUCGGGGUGUAAACUUCUGUCAGGGACUAGAAAACUUUGAUCGGUCCCAAAGGAAGGGCCGGCUAACUUCGUGCCAGCAGCCGCGGUAAUACGAAGGGCCCGAGCGUUAAUCGGAAUCACUGGGCUUAAAGGGUGCGCAGGCGGACCUGAAAGUACUUUGUGAAAUACCACGGCUCAACCGUGGAAUUGCUUGGUAAACUACAGGUCUUGAGCCCGACAGAGGUCGUCGGAACGCUAGGUGGAGCGGUGAAAUGCGUAGAUAUCUAGCGGAACGCCAAAGGUGAAGACAGACGACUGGGUCGGUGCUGACGCUCAGGCACGAAAGCGUGGGGAGCGAACGGGAUUAGAUACCCCGGUAGUCCACGCCCUAAACGAUGUGUACUAGAUCGAGGAGGUUUUGACACCAUCUCGGCCGACGCAAAAGCAUUAAGUACACCGCCUGGGGAGUACGGUCGCAAGGCUA
rnacentral:rRNA from 1 species